AGAUUAUCAUUUUUGAGCUGUCGCGAUCCUGUGGUCGAUGGCGAAAAUCGCGUUAGGAUGCGACCCAGUGGUGGGUUCACUCGCCUCCUCCAAGAAGAGGGAGUACAGAGUCACUAACAGACUGCAGGAGGGCAAGCGUCCCCUCUACGCCGUCGUUUUCAACUUCAUCGACUCUCGUUACUUCAACGUCUUCGCCACCGUGGGCGGCAACCGGGUGACUGUUUAUCAAUGUCUUGAAGGAGGCGUCAUAGCGGUUUUGCAAUCGUAUGUUGAUGAAGAUAAGGAUGAGUCUUUUUAUACGGUGAGCUGGGCAUGUAACGUUGAUGGAACUCCAUUUGUUGUAGCUGGAGGAAUCAAUGGUAUCAUCCGUGUAAUUGAUGCGAGCAAUGAGAAGAUACACAAGAGUUUUGUUGGCCAUGGAGAUUCAAUAAAUGAAAUCAGAACUCAGCCCCUGAAACCUUCACUUGUGGUGUCUGCAAGCAAAGAUGAAUCAGUUCGACUGUGGAAUGUUCACACUGGAAUUUGCAUUUUGAUAUUUGCUGGAGCUGGGGGUCAUCGGAAUGAAGUUCUGAGUGUGGACUUCCAUCCAUCAGACAUAUAUCGGAUUGCAAGUUGUGGAAUGGACAACACUGUCAAGAU
rnacentral:misc_RNA from 1 species